rnacentral:lncRNA from 1 species
CUGGGCUUCUGGGUUGGGUGGGGACCUGGAGAACUUUUCUGUCUAGCUAAAGGUUUGUAAAAACACACCAAUCAGCACUGUGUCUAGCUAAAGGUUUGUAAAUGCACCACUCAGCACUCUGCGUCUAGCUAAUUGGGUAGGGGACUUGGAGAACUUUUGUGUCUAGCUAAAGGUUUGUAAAUGCACCACUCAGUGCACUGUGUCUAGCUAAUCGGGUAGGGGACUUGGAGAACUUUUGUGUCUAGCUAAAGGAUUGUAAAUGCACCAAUCAGUGCUCUGUGUCUAGCUAAAGGUUUGUAAAUGCACCAAUCAGCACUCUGUCAUAACGGACCAAUCAGCUCUCUGUAAAACGGGCCAAUCACCUCUCUGUAAAAUGAACCAAUCAGUAGGAUGUGGGUGGGGCCAGAUAAGGGAAUAAAAGCAGGCCACCCGAGCCAGCAGUGGCAACCCGCUUGGGUGCCCUUCCAUGCUAUGGAAGCUUUGUUCUGUCGCUCUUUGCAAUAAAUCUUGCUGCUGCUCA